AUGUUCCAGAGGAAAAAAUCGCCAGCGCUGCUGCUCAAGAUUGACAUAGCAAAAGCUUUUGAUUCGGUUUCCUGGGAAUAUCUGUUAGAGCUGCUGCAAUGAUUAAACUUUCCAGCGCGCUAGAGAGACUGGAUUGCUCUGCUCCUCUUCUCCGCAUCAUCGGCAUGCACGCUCAACGGCGACCUAGGGCAAGCCAUCCUCCACCUGCCCGGGCUGCAGUAG
rnacentral:rRNA from 1 species